AAUUUAUAUGCAUAGAUACAGUCGUAGUGCUUGACACAUGCACACAGCAGUAGAUGUACUAAAAAGGAAAUAAUUACAAUCAUGAUGAUGAUUGCUGAUGUCAGUAUAUAUAUUUUAGGGGAAUGUUUUGUUUUUCACCCAAAAUGAACUAUAUUGCUUCAGAAGAGAUUUAUUACUCUGCCUGACUCUUAUAUAUUGUUCUGUUUUUUGUUUGUUUUUGUUAUUUUCAGGUUCAAUGGUGCGUGUUCUUCUAAUGGCCGCCUUCCCACUGGAGGUUUUGAUCCACAGCAAUUUAAAAGGUAAACAGCUUUGAAAGUCAGUUCAAAUGGUUAGCUAAUAGUAUUCUAAAAAGCCUACAACUCUGUCACCAGUUUCUUUACCAAAAAGUACCCAUAAAAGUAUAUCGCAUAUCAUUGUAGUUCAAAUGUUUAGUUGUACAAAUGUCAGAUUUUUGGAAAUCUAAAACUAGUCAAACACUCAAAUGUUCAUGCUUUUUAUAGGAGGACAAAUCAAAACGGACAUCGGCGCAGAGUGAAGAACUGUCCUUCAUAAGGACACUAUGACAGCCAUAUAUAUGGCAGUAAGGAAGAGGUUUCCCAAUGUGUCCAGAAGGGCUUUGAGGAUUGCAGUGAAAGCUGGGGGAACUGAGACUGCUGGAAAAGGAAAAGAAAUUACAUUUAAAGUAUGUUGACUUAUGUUCAUACAAUCACACACACAUAUACACACAC
ensembl:lncRNA